rnacentral:rRNA from 1 species
GACGAACGCUGGCGGCGUGCCUAAUACAUGCAAGUCGAACGCAGUGGGGACGGGUGAGUAACACGUGGGUAACCUCCCAUCAGAGGGGAUAACACUUGGAAACAGGUGCUAAACCGAUACUGAUGGAUGAACCCGCGGUGCAUUAGCUAGUUGGUGAGGUAACGGCUCACCAAGGCCACGAUGCCUAGGCGAACCGGGAGGGUGAUCGGCCACACUGGGACUGAGACACGGCCCAGACUCCGACGGGAGGGAGACGGAGGGAAUCUUUGGCAAAGGACGGAAGUCUGAGCGGGCAACGCCGCGGGGAGGAAGAAGGUUUUGGGAACGUAAAGCUCUGUUGUUAGAGAAGCGGUAACUAACCAGAAAGGGACGGCUAACUACGUGCCAGCCGCCGCGGUAAUAC